GUGUCAGCCGCCGCGGUAAGACGUAGGGAGCAAGCGUUGUCCGGAUUUACUGGGCGUAAAGGGCGCGUAGGCGGUCUGUUAAGUGUGAAGUGAAAUCUCCAGGGCUCAACCCGGAAACCGCUUCGCAUACUGGCAGACUGGAGGAAGGCAGAGGUAACUGGAAUUCCUGGUGUAGCGGUGAAAUGCGUUGAUAUCAGGAGGAACUCCAAUGGCGAAGGCAGGUUACUGGGCCUUAUCUGACGCUGAGGCGCGAAAGCGUGGGUAGCAAACAGGAUUAGAAACCCCCGUAGUCC
rnacentral:rRNA from 1 species